UGAUUUAAAAGAUGACGAAGAGGACACAUCUUCAGUCCCCAGCUGUCUGUCUCUGAAGAGUGACUGGCCUAUGGGUCAUCUUCCAACCUUCAGUAAUGAACCUGGACCCUCAGACACAAAACAGAGAGCAGAGUCUCCAGUCCCCAGCUGUCUGUCUCUGAAGAGUGACCAGUCUAUGUGGGACCCUAUAUCCUUCAGAAAUGAACCUGGACCCUCAGACACAAAAGGGAAGAGGAAGAGUGGUGUUCCUGUGGAGGAGCAGCU